GACGAACGCUGGCGGCGUGCUUAAUACAUGCAAGUCGAACGGAAAGGCCCUGCCUUGCUUGUGUGCUCGAGUUGCGAACGGGUGAGUAACACGUGAGUAACCUGCCUGUUACCUUGGGAUAACUUUUGGAAACUGUGGCUAAUACCGCAUAGGAGCUCCUGCUGCAUGGUGUGUGCUGGAAAGUUUCGGCGGCUGGGGUUGGACGCGAGGCUUAUCAGCAUGUUGGUGUGGUUGUGGCAUAGAAUGGCCUUGGCGGGUAGCCGGACUGGGCGGGUGACCGGCCACAGUGGGCCUGGGAUACGGCCCAGACUGCUACGGGAGGCAGCAGUGGGAGAUAUUGCACAAUGGGCAGAAGCAUGAUGGAGCAACGCCGCGUGGGAGAUGACGGCCUUCAGGUUGUAAACCGCUUUCGCCUGUGAAGUAGCGUGAGUGACGGUAAUGGGUAAAGAAGCAACGGCUAACUACGUG
rnacentral:rRNA from 1 species